CACGUAGGCGGCUUUGUAAGUUAGAGGUGAAAGCCCAGGGCUCAACCCUGGAAUUGCCUUUAAGACUGCAUCGCUAGAAUUGUGGAGAGGUAAGUGGAAUUCCGAGUGUAGAGGUGAAAUUCGUAGAUAUUCGGAAGAACACCAGUGGCGAAGGCGACUUACUGGACACAUAUUGACGCUGAGGUGCGAAAGCGUGGGGAGCAAACA
rnacentral:rRNA from 1 species